GAUGAAGAACGCAGCGAAAUGCGAUAAGUAAUGUGAAUUGCAGAAUUCAGUGAAUCAUCGAAUCUUUGAACGCACAUUGCGCCCCUUGGUAUUCCGAGGGGCAUGCCUGUUCGAGCGUCAUUAUAACCCCUCAAGCUCAGCUUGGUGUUGGGGCCUGCCGCACGGGCAGCCCUUAAAAUCAGUGGCGGUGCCAUCUGGCUCUAAGCGUAGUAAUUCUUCUCGCUAUAGAGUCCCGGUGGAUGCUUGCCAUUAACCCCCAAUUUUCUAUGGUUGACCUCGGAUCAGGUAGGGAUACCCGCUGAACUUAAGCAUAUCAAUAAGCGGGAGGA
rnacentral:misc_RNA from 1 species